AACGCGAAGAACCUUACCUACCCUUGACAUGGCGGAGAUUCUGCCGAGACCUUCGGGAACUCUGAGACAGGUGCUGCAUGGCUGUCGUCGUGAGAUGUUGGGUUAAGUCCCAUAACGAGCGCAACCCUUGCCAGCGGUCCGGCCGGGAACUCAAAGGAGACUGCCAGACACACGUGCUACAAUGGCGCAUACAAAGAGAAGCGACCUAGCGGACCUCAUAAAGUGCGUCGUAGUCCGGAUUGGAGUCGUGCAUGAAGGCGGAAUCGCUAGUAAUCGUGGAUCAGCAUAUACGUUCCCGGGUCUUGUACACACCG
rnacentral:rRNA from 1 species